ACAUGCCUACAACAUAGCGUUAAUGCACCGAAUCCCAUUAGAACUCCACAGUUAAGCACGCUCAGACUAAAGUAGUACUGGGAUGGGUGACCGCCUAGAAAGUCCUAGUGUUUUACAUGCC
rnacentral:rRNA from 1 species